GUAGGUGAACCUGCGGAAGGAUCAUUACCGAGCGAGGGCUCCGGCCCGAACCUCCACCCUUGUGUACCCACCCGUUGCUUCGGCGCUCGCCGUCGGAGACCACGUAACCCGUCCUCUUGAUGUCUGAGAAUACACAAUAGUCAAAACUUUCAACAACGGAUCUCUUGGUUCUG
rnacentral:misc_RNA from 1 species